ensembl:lncRNA
AAUCCACUUAGCCCUCCAAGGGCUAGAUGGCUUAAUACCAUAAUGGAUUGUCUAGGGGUUAAAAAAGCAAUUUAGAAUACAGAAUAUUACGCCUCACAGACAUAGUCGUUCGAAGUAAACAUGGAUUUUGUGUUUCGUAGAAGGAAGAUAUGUAUCGUUUGGGAGUAAUCUCGCCUGGGGCCAAGUUCAGCUGGCACAAUGUUGUGGAACGUCGAACAAACAUGCCUCUCUAACAUGUAAAAGAGGAAUCACUUCCAAAUCAUGACAUUCCUAAAUGUUUGCCUACUGAACAUGGCCCUGCGUGCAUGUUAAAUUUUGAAUCCUCUCAUUGCAGCUGUUGAUGGGUAGGGGUGGUCACUGCACUUUUUGUUUGUCAGCACUCUACAGGUCUGGCCCUUCAGAUCCACACUAGCCUAACUGCCUUUGUAGCCUUUAGCCAUGGUUGUUUUUCAUUAGGGCACACCGUAGCAAAACAUUUUUCAACAGAAAGCUAAAACAGCAUUUCUUUGGACUGUUUUUUUCUGUCUUAGUUUUUGUGUAUAAUGAAAACACGACCCAGGUCUCAGACCACAGACGAUCUGAAUAUAUCUGCUUAUAAGGGACUUCAUCCAGGGGUGAACUCUUAUGAUAUACAUCAUGACAGUUCACCCCUGGAUGAAAAGUCCCUUUAUAAGCAGAUAUAUUCAGAUCGUCUGUGGUCUGAGACCUGGGUCGUGUUCAUUAUACACAAAACUGAAGAAAAAAACAGUCCAACAAGAAAUGCUUGUUUUAGCUUUCUGUUGAAAAAUGUUUUGCUACGGUGUGCCCUAAUGAAAACAACCAUGGCUAAAGGCUACAAAGGCAGUUAGGCUAGUGUGAUCUGAAGGGCCAGACCUGUAGAGUGCUGACAAACAAAAAGUGCAGUGACCACCCCUAACCCAUCAACAGCUGCAAUGAGAGGAUUCAAAAUUUAACAUGCAACGCAGGGCCAUGUUCAGUAGGCAAACAUUUAGGAAUGUCAUGAUUUGAAGUGAUUCCUCUUUUUACAUGUUAGAGAGGCAUGUUUGUUCUACGUUCCACAACAUUGUGCCAUGCUGAACUUGGCCCAGGCGAGAUUACUCCCAAACGAUACCAUAUCUUCCUUCUACUGAAACACAAAUAUCCAUGUUUACUUCGAACGACUAUGUGCUGUGAGGCGUAAUAUUCUGUAUUCUAAAUUGCUUUUUAACCCCUAGACAAUCAUUAUGGUAAUUAAGCCAUCUAGCCCUUGGAGAGGCUAAGUGGAAUUUUCACCAUAGUCUUAAAUAUUUUCAGAUCUACAGAAGAUAGAAGUUAGAGGCUAGAGUUCCAUUUGGAAUUCAGCAGUAGUAGUGUAUCCCGAAACCUUACUGUACACGCCAAACCUGUAAUGCUGUGGCAAACUGAACCCUAAAACUACGCCAAGUUCAAAAACCUGAGUAUGAAAAUGACCACACAACAAAAUAAACAACUUUAUCACUAGUCAUAAAAACAUAGCAGCUAAAAUAAGAUAAAACUGGCAGUACACACGAUAAAUAACACAAUAUAGAUCUAGGAUCAGUUUACCCUACUCAAAUAUUACCUUCAUCAUUAGAGGAACAAAAUGCAAAAACUGAAUUUAGAUCAGUGUCUAGGGGCAACUUGAAAGUACUCCCGCUCACUGUCCUCUCUCAUUGCCUCUCUCUCCAUUAGUGGGUCACUAAGGCACUGGUGUAUACAGUCCAGCAGAGAAACUAACAUUUUUUAUCUGUGCGCUACAUACAGUUAAAACUACCCCAUCACAAGAACAAAACGAAAAAGCAACAAAGCGAAAUGUGACAUAAAUAUCCAUGAUUUAAAAUGUAAAAUUAACUUAGAAAUAAAAACGCAACAAUUUCAAUGUAAAAGCUUCGGGAAGAGCAUGCCUUUUUGUUAACAAAUAUUUAAAUUGUUUGUUUUAUUUUCUUCAAAUUAGGAGAGAAAAAAAUCACUUGAUGGCUUUCUUGUUGAGGUCAAACAGACCCUUAAGUUCCAGCAUGGCCUGUUUAAUGUUACCCAUGAAGCGGUGGAGUCUAGAGAGGAGAGGAGAGAGAGGGAGAGAGAUGAGGGGGCAUAAGAUAGGCGAGAUUAGGGGCAGGAUU